GAUGAACGCUGGCGGCGUGCCUAAUACAUGCAAGUCGAGCGAACAGACGAGGAGCUUGCUCCUUUGACGUUAGCGGCGGACGGGUGAGUAACACGUGGGUAACCUACCUAUAAGACUGGGAUAACUUCGGGAAACCGGAGCUAAUACCGGAUAAUAUUUCGAACCGCAUGGUUCGAUAGUGAAAGAUGGCUUUGCUAUCACUUAUAGAUGGACCUGCGCCGUAUUAGCUAGUUGGUAAGGUAACGGCUUACCAAGGCAACGAUACGUAGCCGACCUGAGAGGGUGAUCGGCCACACUGGAACUGAGACACGGUCCAGACUCCUACGGGAGGCAGCAGUAGGGAAUCUUCCGCAAUGGGCGAAAGCCUGACGGAGCAACGCCGCGUGAGUGAUGAAGGUCUUCGGAUCGUAAAACUCUGUUAUUAGGGAAGAACAAACGUGUAAGUAACUGUGCACGUCUUGACGGUACCUAAUCAGAAAGCCACGGCUAACUACGUGCCAGCAGCCGCGGUAAUACGUAGGUGGCAAGCGUUAUCCGGAAUUAUUGGGCGUAAAGCGCGCGUAGGCGGUUUUUUAAGUCUGAUGUGAAAGCCCACGGCUCAACCGUGGAGGGUCAUUGGAAACUGGAAAACUUGAGUGCAGAAGAGGAAAGUGGAAUUCCAUGUGUAGCGGUGAAAUGCGCAGAGAUAUGGAGGAACACCAGUGGCGAAGGCGACUUUCUGGUCUGUAACUGACGCUGAUGUGCGAAAGCGUGGGGAUCAAACAGGAUUAGAUACCCUGGUAGUCCACGCCGUAAACGAUGAGUGCUAAGUGUUAGGGGGUUUCCGCCCCUUAGUGCUGCAGCUAACGCAUUAAGCACUCCGCCUGGGGAGUACGACCGCAAGGUUGGAACUCAAAGGAAUUGACGGGGACCCGCACAAGCGGUGGAGCAUGUGGUUUAAUUCGAAGCAACGCGAAGAACCUUACCAAAUCUUGACAUCCUUUGACCCUUCUAGAGAUAGAAGUUUCCCCUUCGGGGGACAAAGUGACAGGUGGUGCAUGGUUGUCGUCAGCUCGUGUCGUGAGAUGUUGGGUUAAGUCCCACAACGAGCGCAACCCUUAAGCUUAGUUGCCAUCAUUAAGUUGGGCACUCUAAGUUGACUGCCGGUGACAAAUCGGAGGAAGGUGGGGAUGACGUCAAAUCAUCAUGCCCCUUAUGAUUUGGGCUACACACGUGCUACAAUGGACAAUACAAAGGGCAGCGAAACCGCGAGGUCAAGCAAAUCCCAUAAAGUUGUUCUCAGUUCGGAUUGUAGUCUGCAACUCGACUACAUGAAGCUGGAAUCGCUAGUAAUCGUAGAUCAGCAUGCUACGGUGAAUAAGUUCCCGGGUCU
rnacentral:rRNA from 1 species